UCCCCGUUACCGGGGCAGUCUGAAUAGAAAAAUCCAACUAUUCAUAAGGGUUGCGCUCGUUAAUGGACUUAACCAAACAUCUCACGACACGAGCUGACGACGGCCAUGCAGCACCUGUCACCUUGUUCAAUAAAGCACUCUCGCCUUUCGGCAAAAUUCAAGGGAUGUCAAGCCCUGGUAAGGUUCUUCGCUUAUCAUCGAAUUAAAGAACAUCAUCCGCUACUUGUGCGGGUCCCCGUCAAUUCCUUUAUGUUUUAGUCUUGCGACCGUACUCCACAGGCGGGAUACUUAACGCGUUAGCUUCGUUACUGAGGGGGUCGAUACCCCCAACAACUAGUAUCCAUCGUUUACGGCGUGGACUAC
rnacentral:misc_RNA from 1 species